UACUUCCAUGAGGUUUUAGUGGCCAUGGUGAAUUUCUCAAAAGAGAUGAUUACUCCUCCAUCAUUCAAUGAUAGUUCAAAUGGUAUCUCCAAUCGUCGGCUAAGACAAAUUUUUAAGGAUGCUGUUGGUGCAAUUGAUGGAACUCUUAUCCAUGCAUGUAUUCCCACUAAUCAACAAGUACCUUAUCGAGGUCGUGGGAGAGGAGAGUGUUUUCAAAAUGUUAUGGCAGUUUGUGAUUUUGACAUGAUAUUUAGGUUUGUUGUUGUUGGAUGGGAAGGAACAGCUCAUGAUUCAAGAGUCUUGACAGAAACUAUUCGUAACCCGUAACAUAAUUUUCCAAUGCCCCCAUCAGAAAAAUAUUAUUUAGUAGAUGCAGCAUACACACACACUCGAGGUUUUAUGGCACCAUAUCGUAAUGUGCGCUAUUGGUUGAGUGAUUUUCGUAGUAGUGGUAAAGCUGUAGGAAAAGAGGAGAUAUUCAACCAAUGUCAUGCAAGAUUAAGAAAUGUCAUUGAACGUGCUUUUGGUGUUGUUAAGGCGCGUUUUCCAACCUUGAAGAGAAUGGCACCUUAUUCGUUUACUACUCAAACAAAAAUUGUCAUGACAUGCUUCUCCAUUCACAAUUUUCUUCGACAAAUCUCAAUUGCGGAUAGAUUAUUUUCCGAAUAUGACAAUGAAGUGGAAUUGGAAAGUGACAAUGCCAAUCAAAAUCAAAACUCAACUACAAGCAGUUUUUUUGCAGCAUCUGAUCAAGAAUUCAUGCAACAGUUCCGAAACCAAAUCGCAAAUGAACUCUUUCAAGUGUUUAGUUAACUUGUCAUUUUUAGCUUUUUACCAUUGUAAGAAAUGCAAUGUUUAGAUAUUAGCAUAAAAUGUGAUGUCUUCGGAUAUUUGAAAAUAUGUACUUGAAUUGUUAUGUUUUUUCUUUAAUUUGAUUUAGGUUU